rnacentral:rRNA from 1 species
UACCUAAACGUUGCUUCGGCGGGAACAGACGGCCCCGUAAAACGGGCCGCCCCCGCCAGAGGACCCCUAACUCUGUUUCUAUAAUGUUUCUUCUGAGUAAAACAAGCAAAUAAAUUAAAACUUUCAACAACGGAUCUCUUGGCUCUGGCAUCGAUGAAGAACGCAGCGAAAUGCGAUAAGUAAUGUGAAUUGCAGAAUUCAGUGAAUCAUCGAAUCUUUGAACGCACAUUGCGCCCGCCAGUAUUCUGGCGGGCAUGCCUGUUCGAGCGUCAUUACAACCCUCAGGCCCCCGGGCCUGGCGUUGGGGAUCGGCGGAGCCCCCCGUGGGCACACGCCGUCCCCCAAAUACAGUGGCGGUCCCGCCGCAGCUUCCAUCGCGUAGUAGCUAACACCUCGCGACUGGAGAGCGGCGCGGCCACGCCGUAAAACACCCCAACUCUUCUGAAGUUGACCUCGAAUCAGGUAGGAAUACCCGCUGAACUUAAGCAUAUCAAUAGGCCAGAGAAAA